GUUACAGUAGCUGUUUUUUGAUGAAUGCACAGAUUUAGGGGGGGAGAAGUACCCUUGUGCAUUGUGCAUUUGUGUGUCUUACUAGUUGCAUCCAUAACUAGUAAUUCUGUUGAUUGUUGCACAGAUUGAGGGGGAGGAGAAAUACCCUUGUGCAUGUGUGUAUUACUAGUAGCCAUAGCUAGUAAUUGUUUUUUGCUUCUGCUGCUGAUUAAACUACUGUUAUGUGGUUUAAACUGCUGAUAGUUUGCCUUGUGAACAAAAAGGACAGAUAUAUGUUUUAGCCAAAAUUUGCCAAAGGGGGAGUUUGUUGAUUCUAGUGUUGGCACAAUUUGGUAAAACAAAGAGUGUUCAAAGAUGUCAUGUGUGAUGUCUUAACAUGAGAUAUCCUAUGUACCUGCUGGAGUUAAAGAAGAUAUGCAAGCAGGAUUUUUCAUCAGAAUGCCACAUACAAAGACAAGGCUUCUGAUAUUGGUUGUACCUGCUGGAGCUUAACUGGAAGACAUAUUCAUGCAGGAUUGUUUCAGAUGACAUACACAAACUGUAACUUGGUAAAGUGUACGGAUAGUCUUUGAACUAAUUCUAUUAUAGUGGAUUUCCUUCCUGGCUUGGUAGCCCCCAAAUGUAGGUGAGUUGCACCGAACUGGGUUAACAAUUUCUUGUGUAAAAUGCUUUACAAUUCUGUUUAAAUUAUCCAUUGUGUAUUAACAGAUAUCAGUGUCGUGACAUUACCUUCGACAUCUUAUAUCUGAUACCAGAAUUUCAAAUUGUUAAACCCAUUGAAAAUAAUGACCCUAUGCCCUCUCCCAACUUUGAAUUUCCUGUGUUCUAAAUGGAAGAAGAGGAUGAUGAAGAGCUUCCUGAUGAGAUUUCUUAGUUGCUUGAGCACGAAGAAAAGACCAUUCAGCCUCAUAAAGAGCCGUUGGAAGUGAUUAAUCUGGGUUCCGAAGAUAACAAGAAAGAAGUCAAGAUUGGGGCACUGUUUUGUCCAGAUGUUAAGAAGAGUAUGGUAGAGCUUCUUAGAAAAUAUGUGGAUGUGUUUGCUUGGUCUUAUCAAGAUAUGCCAAAUUUUGAUACUGAUAUUGUGGAGCAUAGAUUACCAUUGAAGCCAGAAUGUCCGUCAGUUAAACAGAAAUUAAGAAGAAGUCACCCUGAUACGGCUGUCAAGAUUAAAGAAGAGGUGUAAAAGAAGAUUGAUGUUGGAUUCCAUGUUACUGCUUAAUACCCUCAAUGGGUAGCUAACAUUGUACCUGUUCCAAAGAAAGAUGGUAAAGUUCGGAUGUGUGUUGAUUAUAGAGACUUGAACAAAGCUAGUCCGAAAGAUGAUUUUCCUCUGCCACACAUUGACAUGUUAAUGAUAAUACAGCUAAGUCCAAUGUAUUCUCCUUUAUGGAUGGGUUCUCCGGUUAUAAUCAGAUCAAGAUGGCGCCCAAGGACAUGGAAAAGACAACAUUUAUUACACCCUGGGAAACAUUCUGCUAUAUAGUGAUGCCUUUCGGUUUAAAGAAUGUUGGUGCAACGUACUAGAGAGUCAUGACUACUCUUUUCCAUGAAAUGAUGCACAAAGAAAUAGAAGUUUAUGUUGAUGAUAUGAUUGCUAAGUCGAAGGCUGAAUAAGAUCAUGUUGAGUAUUUGUUGAUGUUGUUUAAGCGGUUGAGAAAGUUUAAACUCUGAUUGAAUCCUAAUAAGUGUACUUUUGGUGUCCGUUCAGGAAAACUAUUGGGUUUCAUUGUAAUCCAGAAAGGUAUUGAAGCAGAUCCUAAUAAAGUCAGAGUUAUUCAAGAUAUGUCUGCACCAAAGACAGAAAAGCAAGUUACAGGGUUCCUCGGAUGUCUGAAUUACAUAUCCAGAUUCAUAUCUCACAUGACUGUGAUGUGUGGGCAAAUAUUCAAGCUUCUCCGUAAAGAUCAAGGUUGUGUUUGGACAGAAGAUUUCCAGAAAGCUUUUGACAAUAUCAAGGAGUAUAUGCUUGAACUUCCUAUCUUGUCUCCUUCAGUGGAAGGAAGAUAUCUGAUUAUGUAUUUGACUUGUUAGAAGAGUCCAUGGGACGUGUGCUUGGACAACUAGAUGAAACUGGUAGAAAGGAGCAUGUCAUCUACUAUCUGAGCAAGGAGUUUACAAAUUGUGAAUCUCAGUAUUCCAUGCUUGAGAAGACUUGUUGUGGUUUAGCUUGGGCUACCAAACGUUUACGCCAGUAUAUAUCAAUCAUACCACUUGGUUGAUAUCCAAAAUGGAUCCAAUCAGGUAUAUUUUUGAAAAGCCUGCUCUGGAAGGAUAGCUCGUUGGCAAAUGCUAUUGUUUGAAUAUGAUAUUGAGUACCAUACUCAGAAGGCGGUUAAAGGAAGUAUUCUUGCAGAUCAUUUGGCUCACUAGCCAAUUGAUGAUUAUCAAUUCAUCAGGUUUUACUUCCCUGAUAAAGACAUUAUGUACUUAAAAGCUAAAGAUUACGAUGAACCGUUGCCUGAAGAAUGGCAAGAGCCUGCAUCUUGUUGGGGUUUAGUGUUUGAUAGAGUUAUUAAUGCUUAUGGUAAUGGAGUUGGGGAAAUCAUUUUUACUCCUAAGGGUUCACACGUCCCUUUUACUGCAAGAUUGAUGUUUGAUUGUACGAAUCAUAUGGCAGAAUAUGAAGCUUGUAUCAUGGGUCUUGAAGAGGCCAUUGAUUUGAGAAUUAAAAUCCUUGAUGUGUGUGGAGAUUCAGCCUUGGUGGUUAAUCAAAUUAAAGGAGAAUGAGAGACUCGUCAUCCUGGCUUGAUUCCUUACAAAGAUUAUACAAGGAGGUUGCCAACUUUCUUCAAUAAAAUAGAGUUUCAUCAUAUACCUCGUGAAGAGAAUCAGAUGGCAGACGCUCUGGCUACUCUGUCUUCUAUGUAUAAAGUAAAUCAUUGGAAUGACGCGCCCAGUAUCACAAUUAUGCUCCUUGAUAGACCUGCUCAUGUGUUUGCAGUAAAAGAAGUUACGGAUGAUAAGCCUUGGUAUCAUGAUAUUAAAGUUUUCCUCCAAAGUUAGGAAUACCCGCUUGGGGCAUCCAGCAAAGAUAAGAAGACUUUGAGAAGACUGGCUGGCAAUUUCUUUAUGAAUGAAGAUAUGUUGUACAAGAUAAACUUUGACAUGGUCUUGCUCAGAUGCGUGGAUAGACAUGAAGCAUACAUGUUAAUGCAAGAAGUUCAUGAAGGAUCCUUUGGUACUCAUGCCAAUGGACAGGCAAUGGCUAAAAAUAUGUUAAGGGCGGGUUACUAUUGGGUGACAAUGGAAUUUGAUUGUUGUAAAUAUGUGAAGAAGUGCCAUAAAUUUCAUAUUUAUGCUGAUAAGAUUCAUGUGCCACUGACACUUCUCAAUGUUAUCUCAUACCCAUGGCCUUUCUCUCUGUGGGGGAUCAAUAUGAUUGGUAUGAUUGAACCCAAAGCUUCGAAUGGACAUCAUUUCAUCCUGGUAGCUAUUGAUUACUUCACCAAAUGGGUUGAAGAAGCAUCUUAUGCUAAUGUGAUCAAGAAGGUUGUGGUCCAAUUUAUCAAGAAUCAGAUUAUUUGCCGAUAUGGUCUAUCAAGUAAGACCAUUACUAAUAAGGGUCGAACUUGAAUAACAAGAUAAUGAAAGAGCUUUGUGAAGACUUUAAGAUUUAACAUCACAAGUCUUCUCCUUGCAGACCUAAGAUGAAUGGGGUUGUUGAAGCUGCAAAUAAGAAUAUUAAGAAGAUUAUCCAGAAGAUGGUUAUGACGUAUAAAGAUUGUAAUGAGAUGCUCUCGUUCACUUUGCAUGGAUACCGUACGUUUAUCCGCACUUCAACAAGGGAAAUUCAUUUCUUUAUUGUGUAUGCAUGGAAUCCGUACUCCCUGUAGAGGUUGAGAUACCAUCAAUGCGAGUCCUGAUGGAAGCCAAUUUAUCUGAGGUUGAAUGGUGUUAGAGCAUAUAUGAUCAGCUGAAUUUGGUUCAAGAGAAGAGACUGACGGCCUUAUGUCAUGGCUAGUUAUAUAAAAAGAGAAUGAAGAAAGAAUUUGACAAGAAAGUUCGACCCCGCGUAUUCAGAUAAGGUGACCUUGUGCUUAAGAAGAUCUUGUCUUUCAACACUAAUUCUAGGGGCAAGUGGACUCCUAAUUAUGAAGGCCCGUAUGUUGUUAAGAGAGCUUUCUCUUAUGGUGCAUUGAUUCUUACAACUAUGGAUGGUGAGGAGCUCCCUCAUCCUGUGAAUGUCAAUACAGUCAAGAAAUACUUCUCCUAGAAAAAUAAAAGAAUAACUCACUAAGUUGAAAACCCGAAAGGGAGGCUUAGGAAAAAAUGAACAUUUCGGUGGAUUGAAAACCCGAAAGGGCGGUCCAGGAAAAAAUUAGAGACAUAAAUAUAAAAUAAUCACCCUCGGUAGAUUGACCCCGAAAAAGGAAAUCUAGGCAAAAGUUAGGGAUUAUGGCAAGUAAUUGCAUCAGGCCAGUUUGAAGCAACAAUGCCUAUCACAUGUUCCUUUUCCGUCAUCCUCGACCGAAGUCCAGAGCAUAGUGGAAUUCAAAGUUGUUAGGGAGAAUAGCAGUCAUUAUAUCUCAAUGUAUCCCUUUCCGUGUAUUUACCAUUUUCCAACUUUAUAAUGAUUCGUGGAGUCACACCAUUUGUGGACUCCAUCAAUAAAAUUUGAGUAUUUUGCCCAUUUGUUUGUUAUUCUUAUUUUGUUUUAGUUUAGGAAAUUUCAUUUAUUAUUUACCAUCAUUUUUGAAGCAAAAUAUAUAUUUAAACAAUCAUAUUCUUAAAAAUUUACAAAAAAAGAUAUGUAUUUUCCUCGACUUGUGAAUACAAAAGAGGAAUCUUAAUGGUAAUUCCAAGGAUGGUAAGAUCCUGAAGAAUGGAAUUCAGUGACUUCCCCAGGCCAAAUUUUCUUUUGUUACGUAUAAUAGUCUCCCCUGGAUCAGAUUGCGAGAAUGGUAGAAUCCCUAACGAAUCUCUUCCAGCAUCUCCAUCUUGUUCAGAUUAGUCAAGUAUCCGGUUGUACUAUGUUAUCAAUCUCACACUUUUGUGCUUGUUUUGUCAACAUAAUCAUACGCAUGUGCAUAUCAUCAUGAGGUUUAUUUACCAUUUUGCAUUUCUCGAUGCUCCCCCUGCUCUCUGGAACUUUUCUCCCCACAGAGUGUGUGCGUCUUCUCUCCAAUAGAGUGUCAACCUUAAGCAGAAAGAGUUUAUCUUUUCUAAUUCCCCACUGAGUUUGAUCCUCAUGGAAGAUUUUGUUUCAAUUUUUCUCUCCAGUUCAUUAUCUGGAUGGAAUCAAUCUCCAGUUGAGUUCAUGUCCUCAUUGGAUUGAGUCUUCUUUGACCGUUUCUCUCCAGUUCAUUCCUGGGUUGAACUUUGGUCCCUUUUGAGAUUAUUACCUUUGUUAAGCUAUCACUUGGCUUAUAGUAGGUAAUAUCUCUUUUGCCUUUGGCUUAUUACCUUUGUUAAGCUAUCACUUGGAUGAUAGUAGGUAAUAUCUCUUUUACCUUUGACUUAUUACUUUUGUUAAGCUAUCGCUUGGCUGAUAGUAAGUAAUAUCUCUUUCACCUUUGGCUUAUUACCUUUGUUAAGUUAUCACUUGGCUGAUAUUAGGUAAUAUUUCUUAUCUUUGGUUGGUUACCUUUGUUAAGUUACCACUUAGUUGGUAGUUGGUAAUCAUUAUGUUUUGGCUUAUUACCUUUUUUAAGUUAUCACUUGACUGAUAGUAGGUAAUGAUUCCUCUUACCUUUGUUUGGUUACCUUUGUUAAGCUAUCACUUGGCUGUUAGUUGGUAAUCAUUCCAUUUUAGCUUAUUAUCUUUGUUAAGCUAUCACCUGGUUGAUACUUAGGUAAUAUUCCUCUCAUAUUGGAGUUGGAGUUUUCCCCUUUUGAUGAUUUCUUUUCCCUGGCGAGGUCUUGCUUUGAUAAGUAUUUCCCCGUUGGAUCUUUAGUUUGUUUUCUAAUUGUGCAUUGGUUAUUCUCGAGUCUUUCCUUUUCCCCUACGGAAUUUUGUUUGUCCCUAGCCGGGUAUCCCUGUAGAAACUAACCCCCCCCCCCCACAACCCACACACACACACACACACAGAGAUAUUUUGGUUUGCAUUCAUAUCAUAUCAUAAGCAUCUUGCGGUAUCUUAAGGCCAAAAAAAUGGGUCUUUAAUAUUUAAGUCUCUUUAAUCUUUUCGAGACAAAGAUUUCAACCUUCAUAUCUCUAAAUUGAAGAAACUUAAAUAGGGUCAUCUGUCAUACCCUAAUUUUUAACCCUAAGAUCCCACAUAUCAUUUGCAUCAUUUGCACACAAACAAUAUCACAUCUUGGUCCUUUAUCCAUCUUUAGGUUUGCUUUUUGUUGGCUUAUUUUACCUUUGUGUUUACAUGAUUAAUUUCUUAUCUAACCACUGAUCAAAAUAGCAAAAAAUAUGUAUUGUUUCCCUUAAGUUUAUUAUGAAAGGUAAUGGUUUUUCAAUCAAAAUCAUCUCAAAGUCUUUGGCUUACUUUUCAAAGAAAGUCAAAGGUUCAUGUGUUUAUUUCCAUGCCUUCUUCAAUAAGCAACUUCAAGCUUUGAUAAAUUUAAGCAAUAGGAAAUCAAGGACACCUUAUCUUGAGUUCAUAUGAUCACCCAUGUGCUUUGAAAUUCAAGGAAAGUCCAAGUACACAAGCUUGUUCCAAGAGGUUUGACCAAAAGUCAACCAUUUUAAGUCAAAGUUCCAAGGAUCAUAACUCUUUCAAUUCUCAACAUUUUUGAAUUCUUCUUUUUGCAUAUGACUAUUCUCAACAUCUUAUACAACUUCUCUUUACAUGACAAGAGCCAAUUAUGCUCGGAGGAUCAUCAAAUGUUUUGAGACAUUAUAGGUCAUUUGUGGACUUAGUGAAAUUUAACCUAUUUUCAAAUGACUUUUUCCCAACUUUCAAAGACCAUAACUUCUUAAAUUUUCAACAUAUGUGGCUGAUUAUUUUUGCACAAUAUCAUUUGUGAUGCCAUCUACAAGUUUUCUUCAAGGACCAAGGUUAGAAUAUGCUUUGAAGGUCAUGGAAUUCAUUGAGACAUUACAAAUUAUUUUCAGCCAUGAAGUACUCAAAUGUUUCUAAGUUAUAUGAUCGGUUUUUCAUGUCAACUUCAACAUGACAUAACUUUAUGCUCAAGCUUCCAAAUUCAACCUUUAUUGGCACAUUGUAAUCUUUUCCAUGAUAUUAACACAUUUCAAAAAGAAUGGGAUCAAAAAGUCUCCUGAGUAGAGUACCCCAUUGGGUUGAAUAUGGUGACUUGUAACUGAAGAAAUAGCCAUUGCCAGAGUCUUGAACUUCAUUAAUCUCAAUUACAAGCCAAAUUUGCAUGUGUUUUGGACCUAAACAUGUUUAACCAAGUCUCCAGAAGAUAAUUAACUCUUAAAAUGCAUCAUUUGGCUGAGUUUUGAGGAGUUUCAAGUCACACUUUUCUCACAUUCAGAUCAAAUUCAUUUUGCAUGAAUUCUGCAUCAUUUCACACGUAUUUGGAUCCAAUCAUAUUCCUUAUAAAUAUAGGGAGCUAUUGCAUUCAUUUCCAAGCUUUGGAGAGCCAAGAAAUCCCUACUGCAACUUGAAAUUUUUCCAGAAAAUACAACGAUCGUGUUUUGAGUUUCAGCUUGUUUCAAUCUAAUUUCUUGAUUCCAUUAGCACCUUCGGAAUCCUCUGAAACUUUUGCAACAAUUCCCAAAUUCUGAGACCUUCUGAAGUGCUCUAACCAGAUCUAGUUUCAUCAACUUCUGAUCACCAUUUGGAUAAGGUAGUUCUGAGCAUCAUUUGAACUCAAACAAGUUACCAUAAUCUGAUGAUUUCCCCUAACUUAUUUGGUGUUGAUUGAUCGUGUUCAUCAUUUAAUUUUAUUUUUCGUGGCUUGCUUGUUUCUGAAACUUCUAUGAAAUUCCCUUUGCUCAGUUUACAUAAAUGAAUUUGGAGCAUGAGGUUGAAUUCUGGAUGAGAAGAGGAUCACAAUUGUGGUGGUCUCGUGUUUUGAAUUUACCAAACGACGAAGCUCCAGUGAGAGCUCACCAGAGAAGACGGCCGUAUUUUUCUCAGGUUGUCUGAGUUUGGUCAGACACGUUUGAGGAAUGAAAUAUUAUGAUUGGUUGGAUUUAAAUUGGAUUCUGUGUUUGACUUAUAGCGCAUUUCAUCGUGUUCUCUAACAUAUGAAGUGUUGGAUCUGCCACGUCAAUUAAUGAGGUGUGAUCCAACGUUCCGUGUUUUUUAUGAUUUUAAUUCUUUUUCUUUUAUUAUUUUUAAUUUCUUUUUCUUUUAAAAUUCAUAGUAAUUUCAUUUUUUAUCCAAAAUAAUUUCUAAAAUUCUCUUUUGUUUUUCUUCAUCUGAUUUUUAUUUUUUCACAUUUUAUUUCACUGAUUUUCUAUUUUUCAUGAAUUUUGUCUUUUCCCCUUUGUUCUAAUUGGUUUAAAAAUAAUUUUCUGCAUUUUUAAAUUCUGAAAAUUUUAUUAUAUGCUUUUUAUUUCAUUUCCAACCUUCCAUAAUAUUCUUAGCCAUUUAUUUGGUGUUUUGAAGGACUUUAUGGAUUUUCCAUUUUAUUUCUAUUUUAAAAUUACUUUUGGUGCAUUUUUUAUUUCAUUUAAUUUCAUUUUAUAUAUGUGAACUUCUGUUGGCCAUGGACCAUGAUGGUUUGGACUUCAAGUUUCAUCAAACUCAAUGGAUCUUGGGUGUUGAUGGGGUGAGUAUCCUAAUCCAUCAAAAUGGAUGAUUGAUUUUGAUGAUGACUUGAUCAAACCUUUGGUCCAAUUUGGGUAUGACUUUUCUUGUCUCCUUCUUCUUCAUAUUUUUCUUUUCCCUUUGAUCAAUUGGAUGACUUGUGUCCAUCUUAUUCAUGAUGUAUGGAUUGGUACUUGAUAAACUUUCGUCAUUUCAAAUCUACCUCCUAAUUGAUCAUGGAUCAUUUAAGGUACUUUAGAUUGAUGCAUAAGUUUGCCUUAUGUGUCAUGAAGUAUGGAUUGAAGUAAUGGACCAUCCUCCUAGCCUUCGUGCUUGAUCAUCCCCUUUCUUUCUUUCUUUUUUUAUGGCAUUACUUUAGGAGAAUGAUUUACAUGUCAUUUCUUUAUCAUGUAUUAACACAAACCUUAUUAUUGAUCGGCCUCGGAUAGUUGUGACUUCUACAUAAGUCCAAUUACGAUUGUUUAACAUAGCACUAAAUUUGUCCCAAAAGUAAAGGCAUUUUUAUAAGUGAGAUUGUAAGUCUUUUAUUCCUCAUGGUAUUUUGUGAAAAUGUUGCUACUUUUCCAUUUGUGAGAGCUAGUAGUAUACUUGUUGAUCCUUAUCCAAGUUAGAUCUCUUCUCAUGAUAAUGCAAAGUUCUCAUACUUGUGGGUGACUAGUUGAGUAUUCUCCUUAAAGUGACAAAAUGUCUUUCCAUUAAAAAUGAAUCAAAACAAACACCUUUGUCAUUUUUACCACGAACUACGGGGUUUUGAUCCUCCAUUGCACUUUGUUGGUACGUAGGCAUGAGACUUCAAAAGUCUUGGCAAACACAAAAAUAAGAAAAAUAUACUUCAUUUCCCAUCUCUCCAAUCUUUUGCAAAUAACACCCUUUUCAAACCAAAAUGUACAUAUUUUCAAAGAGGUUCCCAUGGAAUACCAUGGAUGUUUAGGGUGAUAAUACCUUAUCUUUGUAUAACUAACACCCAGACAUUUGUUCUCUUUUUAUUAGUUUUGUUUUAAAACUUCUUCGGGUUUUGUUCAUACUUUUUUCCUUUUCCUUUGGAAACAAUAAAGGCGUGGUGGUGACUCUUGCUUUAUGAGUUAAGUUAAUCGAUAGCUUAAUCUCAAAAAAUUUACCGCUACAGCGUAUGGAGGCCCAAAUUGCUGAAGCCCAAAAACACUGUCUAUUUAACUGGAAAAUGAGAACUUUCACUAGUUGGACGAUUUUAGACGGCAAAAACAUGUUUUGAAGGUUGGAGAACUCAGAUUUUCGAGGUGGAUUCAUAUUUUCUAGAGCUUUUUGAGAUUGAAUAUCAAUUCAUCUAAUUUUUUUGUAAUGGAGACAUUAUUUAUCAUGUUUUAUUUUAUUUCUAUGGGUACCUAAACCCCCCAGUGCUAGGGGGUGUCCCUGAUUCAGAUUUGUAAUGAAUUCAAAUUCCUCUUUGCAAUAACAACCUUAUUUUAUCAUACUUGAUUUAUUCUCUUGACUGAUUUAGUGCUUUCUCUGUUGCAUAAACUGAGUUUGAUUUAUGAUGAACAAUAAGGCUAGACUUCCAUUGUUCAGGAUCUGUUUGAGAAUAUUUUAUAGUAAAUGUCGCCUAGGACUAGGGAUACCCUAUAAAAACCGGAUUAUUCUUGAUAGAAUAAUGCUUAAUUUCAUUCGUACUUUUCUAUGGAUAUAGGAGUUAGGCUGAAUGAUUAAAGGUUUUCUUACUAAGGACUUAGGAGUAAACACUUGUAAGAAUCGGUAAUUAAUUAUCUAAAAUAUGUUGUUGCAAUGUUAGUUUAGAGUCGUCACAUAAUUGAAUCAUACAUUAUCCCUAACAUAUUACUCAUAUCUUUAUAGACCAUACAAUUACUUUGUUUACUUUAUUCACAAUUACUUUCAUAAUUUAACCAAUCAAUCCAAAAACCCUAAUGCUUUUAUUUAAUUGAAAUUUAUCCAAAACUUUGUAUCGUCAAGCAGUCCUUGAGAUCGAUACUGGGGAUUUCCCCUCUUAUUACUACAUUGGCAAAUUAGUACACUUGCUAAUUUACUGAUCAAUAACUUCCUUCAUAACCAUCAACACCAGUAGGACACAAACAUGAUGGACGAGUUAGAGGUAUUAGAUCCCAAGCCUCUAUUUGGUGAGAUAUGGGAGGUGCCGAUCCCAGGGAACUUCAAGUUGCCAUUUAUGGCUAAGUUUAACGGACGCGGUGACCCAUAUGAACAUGUAGCAUCCAUCAAAUUUUAUAUUGCCAUAAUUGGGUAACAUGACUCCUUAAAGUGUAAGCUCAUGUCUGGAACCUUCAGAGUCACAAAUAUGAGAUGGUUUAUGGGCCUCCCUGAAUCUCCGUAACCAACUAUCAAGACUUGGUGAAGAAUUUGAUUCAUCAAUUCUUCACAAACAAGCAUAGGAAGAUGAUCGGCACCAGUCUAUUCAACAUUCACCAAGGUCCCUUGGACUCACUGAGGGAGUAUCUAUCCCACUUCAACGAAGCAACAAUCAAGGUAAUCCAUCCAAAUCAGGAAAUAUUCCUAGGAGAAACUAAGUCUCUUCAGGAUGACUUAACUAAGUCUCGCCUGAAGGACUCAACUAAGUCCCAUAUAAGGGACUCAACUAAGACUCACUGAGAAGACUCAACUAAGUCUCACCUGAGGGGCUCAAAUAUGUCUCGUUGGGAAGAAUAAACUAAGUUUCACCUGAGGGACUCAACUAAGUCUCGCUUGAGGGACUCAACUAAGUCUCGUCAGGAAGACUCAACUAAGUCUCUCUUCAGAGGCUCAACUAAGUCUCUCCUGAGGGAAUCAAUUAAGACUCGUCGAGAAGACAACUAAGCCUCGCCUGAAAGACUCAACUAAGUCUCAUUGGGAAGAAUCAACUAUGUCUUGCUUAAGGGAUUCAACUAAGUCUCGUCAGGAAGACUCAACUAAGUCUCGCCUGAGGGACUUAACUAUGUUUCGUCAGGAAGACUUAAUUAAGUCUUUCCCGAGGGACUCGUCUAAGUCUCAUUUGAGGUAUAUAACUAAGUCUUGCAUGAGGGACUCAAUUAAGCCUCUUCAAUAAGACUCGACUAAGUAUUUCCUGAGGGACUCAACUAAGUCUCGUCGGGAAGAUUCAACUACGUCUCGCUAUAAGGACUCAACUAAGUCUCGUUAGGAUUAUUCAACUAAGUCUCGUCUAAGGGGCCUAAAUUUGUCUCGCAUGAGGGAAUCAACUAAGUCUCACCUGAGGGACUCAACUAAGUCUCAUCAAGAAGGUUCAGCUAAACCUCGUCCAGAAGGUUCAUCUAAAGCCUAAAAAAUUAAAGGUAAUAGUCAAGAUUCGACUAGGAUUUCGUGGAAAGUUUGAAUAUGAGUAAGGGAUUAAAACACUUCGGACUCUACGAGUCCAUGUACUUGAGGGAAUGUGUAGUGGUGUAUUGUAAGGGAUCAUGGGGGCGGGUCAGAGGCUUAUGCUUCACCCAUCGUUAUUUCCAAGUUGCCUUUUUAUUGGUUAGAGUGCCCCUCUUUCAGAUAGAGUAUCCCUUAUCUGAUACAUCAGUUGGUUGUUUCCCGUCUCCUUCCAUAAAGUGAAAUCGUACAUAAAACGGGUAUUUGGUAAACAAACAUUACAUGGGAAGUUGUGGGAUUUAACUAUACUUUCUGGAUUUUAGGGAAUCAACUACCCAUUUUUGGAGUGGUUGCUACGUCUUAGGGAGACUUGGGUUAAGGCUUAGGAGAUUAUAAAUAAAUAAGUAUUAUGAUAAACAAUAGUAUAUACACAUAAAUACAUACAUACAAGAGCUUCUCAAUCCAUCUUAAUGACUAGGGGUUGUCACCCAUUUAUACUUUUCGCAAGUACAAUAUUGAAGACUAAUUUUGACAUCUUGUAACAUAAAUAUAUUAUAUUUCACAAUUUUUUCAAAAAAAAAAUGUAUCUUAAAAAUAAUUUUUAUAAAAAAAAACUAUUUGAAAGCGAUUUUUUUUUAAAUUAUGAUAUCUAAAAAAUGGUAUAGUAAAAUAAUUAAAUAUUUUAAAAAUAACUAUUUAAACUAAUUUUUUUAAUGUUAUGAGGUAAUUGAUAAUUCAAGUGUUGUAACUGUUACCACGGGCGUGUAACAGGUCACAAUUGUGUGAAAAAGUAACACGAAUGUUAAAAAAAGGGAAAUUCUCGUUGGUGUAACCGAUUACGCAUUCUCAGUAACCGGUUACCCCUAUUUUAUUUUUAGAGUUUGUUUCAACUGUAACUUACAGGUACGAGAUUUUCAGUUUUCUGUUAUUUUUCAUGUUGUAAAUUGUGUUCCAAUCCAUUUGUAAUUGUAUAUGUACCUUGGAGGUAUUAUGAAUGAAAACUAAUGAUAUUUCUCACCCUCAAUUACUCUCUCUCUCUCUCUCUCCACGUUCAAUUUCUCCAUUAUUCACCAAACUUGUGGUUCCAAGUUCUAACAUUUGGUAUCAAUAGCCUAGUUCUAAUCCACAAACACCUAGUGUGCAACAUGAAUUUGUCUCCAAUAAAGAAUAAAUGAAAACCUACCCAUCAUUUAUGCGAAGAAUUAUGAAAAAUGGUGCAAACAAAUAAAGAUGUUGUUUGGCUACCAAUAUGUUUUUGAAGUGAUCAAGAAUAGGGUGAAUCCUCUUGUCGAAGGUGUAACUGAUGCACAAUGAGCAAUAGAUAAUAAAGAGAAGAAGAAAGGUUUCAAGGCAUUUUUUUAUCCACUAAUGUGUGGAUGGUGAAAACUUUGAGAAAGUUAGUGAUUGUGAAUCAUUGAAGCAAGCGUGGGAAAUCUUAGAGAAGGCAUACGCAGGGGAUGACAAGGCAAAGGUGGUGAGGUUACAAACUCACAAACGCCAACUUGAAUUGAUUCAAAUGGAAGAAAAGGAGACGACCAAUGAUUUCACAAUGAGAAUCACUCGAUAAUUGAAUCAUGUGAAGGCAUGAGGAGAAACAGUCACGGGGCAAUAUGUUUUCGCGAAAAUCUUGUAUUCUUUAACGUCAAGAUUUGACAAUGUGGUCGUAGUGAUUGAGGAAUCGAACGACCCUGUGAUAUUAGCAAAUAGGAGCUAUAAAGCUUUCUUGAGACUCAUGAGCAAAGGAUGGAGGAGAGAAAUUAUGAUAAGGCAAAGAUGGAGCUAGCUUUGGAAGCUUGUUUCAACGAGAUGGACAAGAGAUCGAAAGGAAAAUGGCCCAUGAAGAGUAAAGGGAAUUUUUUAGAAUUUUGGUGGAAGAGAGUCCUAAAGUUCCAAGAAUUCGACUUGUUAAAGGGGUGAGAACACGUGCAACAAAAAUGGUGGUCAAGGAAACUUUAGAGGUGAAAGGAAAAGUAUUGAUAAAAGCAAGGCGUGGUGCUUUAAAUGUCAAAUGUUCGGCCAUUUUGAAAAAGAGUGCAAUACAAACAAGAAGGAACCUCAAGGAUAUGGAGCCAAGGUUAUAAGACAAGUGUUUGAUGAGGAGAACACACUUUUCAUCAUGAUCACAUAGGGGGGAUGCAGUAGCAGCAUGCUGCGGGACAGCAGCAACGACAAUUUUGGAAACGCUGCAGAAGCAUGUUGUAAUCGGUUAGUAAAAGUUGUAAGUUACAAGAAGAAGAAAAUGUCAUGAUGAGUACGAAAGGUGCAGUUCAGUACAUCAAUAAAUGGUAUAUGGACUUUGGAUGUUCUAAUCAUAUGAUGGAGAGGAAAUAUUGGUUUGUUAAAAUCAAUCAUGCCAUGAAUAACAAAGUGAAGUUCGUGGAUGACACCACUAUAGUAGUCGAUGGGAUCGGUGAUGUUUUGAUCGUGAGAAGGGAUGGUGGGCAUUACUUGAUCAAAUAUGUAUUGUACAUUCUAGAAAUUAAAUGUAACCUUCUAAGUAUUUGGUCAAUUGCUUGAGAAGGGUUACAAGAUUCACACGGAAAGCAAAGGACAACACGUUAUGGAUGCAAACAGGGUUUUAGUCCUUAAAGUUCCUAUGGCUUCCAAUAGAACUUUAAAGUUUGAGUUGAAGGUUAUAAAGCAUAGGUGUCUUGCUACAGCGACUAUUCAAGAAGAAUGGAUAUGGCAUUGUUUUAUUGGGCAUCUUAAUUUUCGAGAUCUCAAUGCAUUGCAAAAGAACAAAAUGGUAAUGGGGUUUCCAUUGAUAAACAUACUGGCUGAAAUUCGUGAUAAAUGUGUGCAAGCGAAGCAACAUAAGGGUGAAUUCAACAAGUAUGUAGGUUAUAGAACUAAGAGUCACCUUGAGGUGGUGUAUUUGAAUGUAUAUGGACCAAUGCAAGUUGACUCGAUUGGUGGUUAUAGAUAUUUUGUCACAUUCACCGACAAUCAUAGUAGAAAGCUAUAGACAUACCUAAUCAAGAGAAAGGAUGAGGUAUUUGAAGUGUUUAAGAAGUUUAUGUCCAUGAUUGAGAGGCAAAGUGAUCACAAGCUCAAAGUUCUCAAAACGGAUGAUGAAGGCGAAUAUGUCUCAAAAUACUUUGAGAGAUUUUGUGAUCAAGAAGGGAUAGUACAUGAGGUUGUACCACCUUAUACACCGCAACAAAAUAGUGUCGCCGAAAGGGAUAAUCUAUUGAUUAUGAACAUGGUAAGAAGCAUGUUAAAGGGGAAGAACUUACCGAAAGAGUUAUGGGGAGAAGCAUUAUCCACAAUUGCAUAUUUGUUGAAUAGGUGUCUGAAAAAGAAGCUUGAGAAGGUAACACCAGAGGAAGCAUGGUCAGGAUUCAAACUGAAUUUGAACCAUUUGAAAUUUUUUGGUUACGUAACGUAUUGACAUGUUCCGGGGCAGCUUAGAAAGAAGUUUGAUGAUAAGGGAGAGUUAAUGAUACUUGUAGGGUAUCACUCUACCAGUGCUUACAAGUUGUAUGAUUCAGCAAACAAGAGGAUUAUGAUCAACAGAGACGUCAUUUUUAACGAGAUCAAGCAGUUCUAGUAUCUUGUGACUGGUUAUGUAAAAGCUCUAACCAGUUACAGCAUUGAAAAUUCAGUUUCUGCAGAAUUUGAGAGUGCAAAAAUGGUCGUCGUCGAAGCUUGAAUUGAAUAGAAUGUGAGAAGAUCAACAAUGCAAAGAGGUUUGCCUAAAAUACUCCAAUAUUGUAAGAUGUUCUGAAACAGAGAAGUCAAUGAUGAGGGUGAUUUCUUCCAUUGUUCACUUAUGGCCGAAUUGAAACCCGUUAAAAUAGAAAAGGCUUUAAGUGAUCCAGAAUGGAUUUGUGCUAUGAAGGAUGGGCUGGAAUCUAUUGAGAAGAACAAUACUUGGGAUUUGUUUGGUCUACCGGAUGGGAAUAAGCCAAUUGGUGUGAGAUGGGUGUUCAAAGUGAAGGCAAAUAUCAAGGGUCAAAUAAUCAAGCAUAAGGCUCGAUUAGUUUCAAAAGGAUUCUUGCAAAGAUAAGGCAUAGACUUUGAAGAGGUAUUUGCAUCGGUUGCUAGGAUUGAAACCAUUAGGCUAGUUGUUGGUAUUGAAAAUAAUAAAAAUUUGCCCAUCUAUAAAAUGGACAUUGAUCCGCUGUCGUGCACGGGUUAAAACGAGUAAUUAAAAACAGUAGGUUAAGGAAGCAACACUCGAGAGUCAUAUCGCAAGGACUCUUGAAUUGAAUUUUACCAACUGAAAAUGAUGGGGGUUUUAAGGUUUAGGUUUUGAAUAAAAUAACAGUAAAAAGGAUUUGAUUACAAAUAAGCUAAAAUGGUUAAUCCUACUGAUUUGGGUUUCGACUUAUCAUUGGCUAUUCUAAAUCCAAUCCCCUAAGAGGCUUCGAUUCUAUUCGAAUAUGAAAUCAAUUAGACAAGCGUUAUCAAUAUCAUGUGAGUUAUGUUCCUAUUUACCUCAUUAAGCAUGAAAAUUUAAAGAUUACGCUAAGCUAACAUACAAGCUAAGUUAACAUGCAAUUAAAAUUAGGAACAUGCAUACAAUCAAAUUUUAUCACUUUUAUCCUAUGAGUAGCAAUCAAAUUAAGAAAACAAAAUUGAUCAAAUUAAGAAAACGAAUACAUAGGUAGAAUUGAACAUAAAAAAAAUUGAAUUGGAAUUAAAAUAACCUCAAAAUGGUGGAACCCCUAAUCAGCAGAAUUUGCCUUAAGGAUUAGUUCUCCAUGAAAAUCGUACAAAGCUAGGAAUUUCGUGAAUAGUGAAUAAUGUGUAUGAACAAUAUCCGUGGCUUAUUUAGGUUAACGGAAACAAAGAAUUCGGGUUUUAAUCCCAACUGGAUCAGAAAACAUAAAAACCGGCCCAAAACUGGCACAAAACUAAUUAUUUUCUAAAGUUUGAAACUAAAACGAUUUAUUCGAGUCUUUUACACUCCGAAUUUGCUUCUGACUUCAACAUGAAACUUUUAUCUUAUCCUCUCAGAUUUCCAACGCUUAUUAGAACGCGUCAAUCUAAUUCUCAUAUCCCAAGUUAUUACCUAUGAAGCGAGAGGGCAUAAGUAGUUUUUUAUUCAGAACAUACCAUGCGAAAUUAAAAUAAAUGUAAAAAUAAACUAAGCUAAGGAAACUAAGCUAUGAAAGUAGAAUUGUUGCAACAUAAUAGUAAAAGAAUGUGAGUGAAAAUGCACUGAAUAAAUUCCCCCACACUUGAACUUUUGCACUCCAAACAAAAUUCUAAAGUUAAAAUUCAAAACAAAAAAAUAGGAAGAAAACAGAGCAUGCAAAUUCAAAGACUUUCAAAAUCACAAGGGUGCAAGUAAAAUCCUCAUUCUAAGCUUCAAGAAAUAUGGUGUUAGUGAGUAAAAUUCAAUGAUAUUCAAAGGAAGUAAGAAGAUAAUUUACCAAAGAGUAUAUCAUAAGCAGCAAGAUCCUCAUGAAAAAAUUCUCUCAACUCUCAAGUGUUUAGGUUUCUAUUUAAACUCAAAGCACAUCAUGAAAACUAGCACUGCCAUAAGCUUGAAAAGACUACAACAUACACAAGUUAAAUACAUGCAUACAAAGAUGAAAAGGACUUUCAUUAGGGUUGUAACUUGGCCAAGGUAAGAAUAAGAUAGAUCCUAAGGGAUACUAGGCUAUAAUUCAAAAGGUUAAAAGAAAAUUGAAAGAAACUGUGGGAGUUGAACUAAAUAAAACUUCAUUCACUUUCAAACAACAACCUUGCAGUUAUUUAUCUUCUCUUUUUUAUUUUUAUUCUUCUUCUUUUUUUCUGAAGGAAUAUGUAUUGUCAUCCUUCUUUUCUUUUUCUAUUUUUUUUCUUUUUCUAUUUUUUUCUUUUUCUAUUUUUUUCUAUUUUCUGUCAACUUUUGAAUGAAAUAUCACAACUAUAAUUAUUCAACCCCACACAACUUCAAACAAGACUCUUUCAACCCUUUGAAUAGGGUGAUAAUAUUGAUUUCCACUUUUUGGCUUGUAAUGAGUUUUAAACAAAGAAUGGGAUAAUAGGCUCAAGGGGUUUUUAAACAAGGGAUGAUAUAUUCAGGGUUAGCUUUUUGGCUAACUAGCUAAAAAAAUAAGUUGUAUUUAUCAUAUUAGUGUGCACAAGUAAACAAAAAACUUCAACAAGAUUCAAUUCAAGUUCUAGAGACUAACAUACAUGAGUGAAACACACAAGAAAUAAAAAGAUGGAUUUUUGAAUGUUAUCUAAUAUUAGGCUCAAAAUUGAACAAGGUAAAUGAUCUACUACAAAUGAUGAAUAAUUAAGGGUUUAGUCCUACCUAUCAUACUAGGAAUGCAUAGCAAAUCAAUCACGUCACACCACGAGUCUUUAACCAAUAGAACAGAGAAAUUACUCACACAACACUUGCAACCUAAAAAUCAAUGAAAAAGCAUGCAAUUUUUUUUUAAGAAAACAACAAAAAAAAAACAAAAAAAAACAAGGAAAAAUAAAAUGGUUCCCUCCCCCACACUUAAGAUACAUAUUGUCCUUAAUGAAAUAACAUAAGUAUAAAAUAAGAGAGAGAGAGAGAGAGAGAGAGAGAGAGAAGAGAUAGAAAAUAACACACCCGAGGAGUCAAGACGGAUACAUGAUUGCAUAAGCAGUCUUUCCCAAAGAUAGCUCUUCUACAAUGUCUUCUUCCAAAGUGGGACUCUCAUGGAGUAGUCUUGGGCAGUGUCCAUUGUUCUUGAAAUUUUUAGUAGUGCGUUCAUCUUUUAUUCCAGGAUCAAAGAAGGAUCUUCCAUAAGUAAAAUUGUCGAAUGGGCAAAUGAAAGUGGUCUCGUUUUUCACAACAUCGAGAAUCAAAGGAUUAAGGGGUUGCCUCACUACUUUUGUUUUAUCUUCAAGUGAGAACCUAUGGAUACUCAUAGAUGGGCUAAUGUCACGAAUGUCAACCAAGGUCCAUCCAAUUCCUUUUUUAUGUUCCUGCAAUAAUUUAUCUUCCUGCUCAAAUUGAAGCUUCGAUGAAUAAUAUAAAUCCUAGGGAAGUGGUUUAGGUUCAAAUAAGGUGGUUGUACAAUGGAUGGUUUGGCUGGGGCAGCUGGGAUGUCGAAAGCUUCAAUUGUAUAAACAGUUUCAGGUGCAUAAACAGCUUUAUCUACAACUUCAUCUGUAGAAAAAAUAUCAACCUGCAAGGUAACCUCGUCUGUAGGAAAAAUAGUAAGUAUCAUCAAAAUCAGACAAUGAUGAGAAAUCAGCUGAAAAUAAGUCAGAAUAAGUAUGAUCAACAAACUCAGAAAGCAAUUCAAUAUGAAAAACAAAAUGUUCCUCCAUGGGAUGUUUCAUAGUAUCAAAAGUGUUAAAUUUAACAAUGGUAUUAUCAAACUCCAUGGACAUUGUAUCAUCAUCAACGUCAACUUUUGUUUUUGCUAUUUUCAUUAAUGGUCUGCCUAAAAUGAUGGGUGCCAUGUUUGACCUAGUUUCUCCUUCCAUGUCCAAAAUGUAAAUAUCAUAAGGAAAAAUUAAGUCAUUAACUUGAACAAGUACAUCUUCUACUACUCCAGCAGGACGGACAUUGCUCCUGUUUGCCAACUGAAUGGUUAAACAUGUAUUCUGAAAAGGACCAAGAUCAAGAUUAUUAUAAACAGAAGUGGGCAUAACAUUAAUAGAAGUUCUUAAAUCCAAGAUGCAACUUUUGAAUUUACUAUCCCCGAUGGUGCAUUGAAUAGCAAAAGUUCCAGGAUCCUUGCACUUUUGGGGCAUGGCCUAGGUGGGAGCUGAAACAUUUUGCUUAGUUGUAUCUUUUUCAGGUGCUUUAGGUUGAAUGAAGACAGAAAAAUUUCUUCCCACAUUCACUCUCUCAUUCCCCUUCAAUCUCCUCUUAUGAGUGCAUAAGUUUUUAAGAAACUUGGUAUAUUUGGGAAUUUGCUUAAUUACAUCAAGAAACUGAAUGUUCACCUCCACCUUUCUGAAUAUGUCCAAUAUCUCCUUAUCCUUAUCUUCCUCAUCCAACUUUUUGUUUUUUACAACUCUUUGUGGAAAAGGAAUUGGUGGUACAUAGUCUUUACCAAUAACAACUUCAAAAUCAGGCAUGGGCUCAAUAACUUUUUUAUUUUUUCUAGGGUUGGUUCAACCGCUUCAACACUUUUUCCAGAUCUCAAGGAAAUUGCACUCACAUUAGGGCCUUUUGGUUUCACUACUGUUUGGACAGGUAAUUGGUUUGAUCCUUGAAUUUGUUGCAUGACAUUCAUUGAAGUGGAAAGCUGUCCAAUCUGUGUCUGCAAGUUCUGAAUACUAGAAUUUGUUCGCUUAUGAAAUUGGAGAAUAUUUACAGCCAAUUGCUUGACAAGGUCAUCUAGUGAAGGUCCGGAAGGUGCAUAGGUGGUUACUUGUGGGGUUUUUUAUGGUGGUGGUAGCGGUAGCAUAAAGUGUUGUUGACUAGGUUAUUAUAUGGAUGGGUUCUUAUGCCAAAGGUUUGGAUGGUUACCUAUUAGUGGAUAGGUCAUGAGUGUUGUAGUACCUGUACUAGUUGUUGCUUUGAGGGUUGUAGAUUUUUGUUGCGUAUGCUUGAGGCAAAUCUAAAGUAGGACAAGUAUCUGUUGGGUGUUCAAGAGAGGUGAAAAUGCCACAUAAUCUUUCAAAUUGAGUUUUUCUUACUGCUAGUUGUCUCACCAAUGAAGUAAGCUCAUCAAUUCUGGUUUCUAAAGCCUCGUUGGAAGGAGAAGCUUGAAUUCCAUGCACUCUUUUUAUUAGAACCACAGAGUUGCUUUUGGUUGUGAAUUAUUGUGAGUUGAGUGACAUGUUUUCAAUUCGAGUCUUAGCUGCAGUUGAGGUCUUAUCAAAAAGAGCUUCUCCACUAGCAGCAUCCAAAAUACUUUUGUCCAUAGGUAACAUCCCUUCAUAAAAGUAUUGAAUUAGCAAUUGUUCAGAAAUAUGGUGUUGAGGACAACUCGACACUAACUACUUGAAUCUCCCCCAAUAUUCGGCCAAUGACUCCAUGUCAACCCCUUUAAUACCACGUAUAUAUUUUAUGAUCUAAGCAACUCUUGAGGAAGAGAAAAACCUUUCUAGGAACACUCUUUUUAGAUCAUUCCAGCUUGUGACAGAAUUUGGCUCAAAGUAAUACAGUUAAUCUUUUGUAGCUCCUUGAAGUGAGAACGGGAAUGCUCUGAGCUUUAUAUGAUCCUCUAUGAAUCCUUUAGGUCUCAAAGGUGUAGAGCAUACAACCUGGAAUUCCUUCAGAUGCUUAUGCAGAUCCUCACUUGCAAGACCAUUAAACCUUGGCAACAAGUGUAUUAAACCAGAUUUUAAUUCGAAAGGUACAACAACAACAGGAUAUUCAAUACAUAAAGCAUUAUAAUUAACACUAGGGAAAGCAAGUUGUCUCAGAGUUCUUUGAUCAGCCAUGUUAAACUCAAAAUCAGAAUCAACAAAGAAUGAGAAAACACAUAACCAAUUCAGCAAUGCAGCAACAACUAAGAAAAUACCAACAAUGUCCCUAAUAAGUAAAAACAAUUGGAAUAUGGAAAAACGAUUAAAAGAAAAGAAAAAAAUAUAAAAAUAUAAAAAUAUAAAAUUUAAACUAAUAAAGUAAAAUAAGAGUUUUGAGAAUUUUUUCGGAAUUUUUUGAAACUAUGAAAACACAAUAAAAAAAAUCAUAAAAAAUAGAAAAAUGAUGAAUUUGGGGUUUUAAGGGUAGUGUCCCGUGACUCUUUUCAAGAGUAACGAUUUUUUACUCCUGAUUUUUUUCUACUAAAUUGGCAUGGAAAAAUUUCGAUUCCGGGAUGAUUUUUCUAAAACUGGGUUCUCGGACCGGGUUUGAUGGAUACGCGCGAAUUGGCCAAAACAGCAAGAAUGGAUGGGCCAAAACGCAAGGACGAACACCUAAGACUCUAAUAAUGGUAAAAUUUGACAAGAGUCUUAGGCAACAGCGCCAAUUUGAUUCGUUGUCACGCACGGGUCAAAAACGAGUAAUUAAAAAUUGUAGUUUAGGAAACCGACACUCGAAAGUAGUAUCGCAGUGACUCUUUUAUUGAAUUUUACCAACUGAAAAUGAUGGGGGGUUUAAGGUUUAGGUUUUGAAUAAAAUAAUAGUAAAAAGGAUUCGAUUAAGAAUAAGUUAAAACGGCUAAUCCUAUUGAUUUGGGUUCCGACUUAUCACUGGCUAUUGUAAAUCCAAUCUCCUAAACGGCUUUGAUUCUAUUCGAAUAUGAAAUCAAUUAAACAAGUGCUAUCAAUAUUAUGUGAAUUGUGUUCAUGUUUAUCGCAUUAAGCAUGACAUUUUAAAGAUUAGGCGAAGCUAACAUAUAAGCUAACUUAACACGCGAUUAAAAUUAGGAACAUGCAUACAAUUGAAUUUAAUCAAUUAUAUCCUAUAAGUAGCAAUCGAAUUAAGCAAACUGAUACAUAGGUAGAAUUGAAAAGAAAUUGAAAUUGAUUUGGAAUUAAAAUAACCUCAAAGCGGUGGAACCCGUAAUUAGCAUAAUUCUCCUUAGGGAUUAGUUCUCCAUCAAAAUCGUACAAAGCUAAGAAUUUCGUGAAUAGUGAAUAUGUGUAUGAACAGUAGCCACUACUACUUUAGGUUAAAGGAAACAAGGAAUUAGGGUUCUAAUCCCAACCGGAUCGGAAAACAUAAAAGUUGACCCAAAACUUGUCCAAAACUAAUUAUUUUCUAAAGUCUGAAACUAAAAUUAUUUCUUCGAGUUUUUUACACUCUGAAUCUACUUUUAACUUCAACAUGAAACUUUUAUCUUAUCCUCUUAUCUAUUCAAAACGUAAUAGAACGAGUCAAUCCAAUUAUCGUAGCCCAAGUUAUGACCUACAAACCGAGAGGGUGUAAAUAGUUGUUUAUUCAGAAAAUACCAUACGAAAUUAAAAUAAAUGUAACAAUAAACUAUGCUAAGGAAACACACUAAAAUAGUAGAAAUAACAAAAGAUACUCUAGAAUUUUUUCAACAUAAUAGUGAAAUAAUAUGCCUGAAAAUGCACUGAUCAAACGUCAAAUCUGCUUUUUGAACGGAUCGCUUGAAGAAGGGUUGUAUGUAGAGCAACCACUAGUUUUGUUGUGAGAAACCAAGAGUUAAAAUUCUACAAGUUGAAGAAAGCAUUGUAUGGUUUGAAGCAAGCUCCAAGAUCUUGGAACAAGAGGAUAGAUGGUUUCCUAAAGGAGGUUGGUUUCAAGAAAUAUGUAUCCGAACAUGGCGUGUAUGUCAAGACGGAUACAAGUGAAGAUGUGGUUAUCCUUUGUUUAUACAUAGACGACUUGUUGAUAAUUGGAAGUGAUGGAAAAUGCAUUUCAAAGUUCAAGAGUGAACUUAUAAAAGAGUUUGAGAUGACUGACCUUAGCCUCAUGACAUACUUCAUUGGCAUUGAGUUCCACAAGCCCAAAAGGGGAUUGCUCAUGCACCAAAGAAGGCAUGCACUUGAGAUAUUGAAGAAGUUUGAAAUGGGGUAUUGUAAUGUUGUCAUUACUCUGACUUAACUGAGGAUACAGUUUUCGAAGAAUGAGGAUGAGCAAGAUGUUGAUCCAACUCAGUAUAUGAGACUGAUUGGAUCAUUUCUUUACUUGUGUAAGACGCGACCCGACGUGACGUUUAAUGUCGGUAUUGUGAGUAGAUUCAUGGAGAGAUCGAAGGUGUCUCACUUAGCAACAGUCAAGAGGAUCAUAAGAUGUCAAAUGGUCGAUUGGCUGGGGAAUUCUCUUUCUCGCAUCGGACACAUGAAGAAAAUGAAACUUACUCAGUUUUACCAAUUCCAACUGGUGUGGAGAUAAAGAUGAUCGAAAGUCUACAGUUGGAUACAUCUUUAUGUUCGGCGAAAUACCAAUUUCAUGGUGUUCGAAGAAGGAACUGAUAGUAGCACUCUCGUCUUGUGAUGCCGAGUACAUUACUGCUUCGUUAUGUGUGUGUCAAGUCGUGUGGCUAAUGAAUCUAUUGAAGGAGAUGGGCAGCAAUGAGGGUGAUGUUGUUACGCUCUUGGUUGAUAAUGUUUUCGCAAUUAAUCUUGCUAAGAACCCAAUUGCACAUGGGAGGAGAAAGCAAAAUGAGAUAAGGUUUCACUACUUGAGGGAACUUGUCAGUUAAGGAAGGUUGAGAUUGAGAUAUUGUAGAAGUGAAUACCAAGUGGUUGAUUUGUUGACUAAGGGAGGCACAAUUGAAGUGUUCAAAGAUUGAAGAUGAACAUGGACAUGGAAGACUUGGAGCACUUGAAUUAAGGUGGUGUGUUAUGAAAAAAUUGACAAUUCUAGUGUUGUAAUCAGUUACCACGGGCAUGUAACCGAUUACAGUUGUGUGAAAAAGUAACAGGAAAGCUAAAAAAAGGAAAUUCUUGUUGGUGUAACCGGUUCCGCAUUCGCAGUAACCGGUUAUCACUGUUAUAUUUUUAGAGUUUGUUUCAGCUAUAACCGGUUAUAGAUUUUGUGUUACCAGUUACAGGUACGAGAUUUUCAAUUUUAUGUUAUUUUUGAUGUUGUAACUUAUUCUCAAUCCACCUGUAAUUGUAUAUGUAUUUUGGAGGUAUUAUGAAUGAAAACUAAUGAUAAUUUUCACCCUCAAUUACACUCUCUCUAAUUAUAAUUCUCAAUCACUCUCUCUUAUCUUUUACAUUCAAUUUCUUCAUUAUUCGUCAAUCUUGUAAUUUCAAAUUUUAAUAUUUAGUUUAAGUUUUUAUAUAAAAAUAUAUUUAAAAAAUUUAAACAAAAUAAUGUAACAAUAUAAGAAUCAUUUUUAAAAUAAACCGAAAGAAAUGUACUAUUUAUUUUGUUUGAUUAACAAUAGCUAUAAUGGAAAGCUAUUGCUACAUUAAUAUUACUAUAGUUGUUUCGUUUUAUAAAAGGUAUGGUUUGGCUUUUUUUGGUGUUGCGUCGGAAAUUUCUCAAAUAUUACAACUUUGUAUGUUGAUUAUAUUUUGUAGACAUUUAUGUAAAGUCGACGAUCAUUUUUGUAUGUUAACUAAUAAUUUAUUAAUUUAAAAGGUUUAAAAUUUUAAAAAUUAACUUUUUUUUGGGAAGAAAAAAUUAACUUUUAAAUCAUGUAAAAUGAACUUUGUUGUUCACAAACUUGAAUUUAGUCUAGUUUGAGUAAAAGAAAAUGUGUUUCAAAAUCAAAUUGAAAUUUGAAUUUUGAGUUGAAUCAAUUUUUAUUGACUCGACUUAAGUCAAAUUAAACUCAAUUCAACUCAUUUUCUACCUUAAAUAUAAAAAAAGUAUUAUAUGAUUAUUAAGAUUUAACCUUUAAAAACAAUAUUUAUUUAUAUUUAUAAAUUAAUAUAAAUCAGUAUGUUGAUAUUUAUAAAUAAUUAAAUUCUUUUAACGUAAGGAUUUUGAAAUUUUAGAGUAGAAACAUUUGUUCAUAUUAAGGAACAUUUGUUCACUAAUGUACUUUUUCUAUUAAGGGCUCUCUGCUCUUAAAGAUGACUUUAAAUUCAGAUUGAAGAUGGAAACUCCUAUUUUUGGAUUUUUCAAUUGACCUGAGGUAGAGAAAUUAGUGGACCAAGUUCUCUGUGUGGAUAUUCACGAUCUGGAAAUACGAGGUGUUUAUUUGGAUGAGAAUUAGAACUUCAAUUCAUUAUAUGUUAAUAUUCAUUUGGUUGUUUGUGACCGUCUAAAAGCGCUUCUCAUUUGUGAAAUUCUGGCGUAGUCAGAGUUCAGAUGUUCUACUCCAAGUCAUGACAUCUGAUCCAACAUUGUUACUAAUACAGCAAGACAGUUAUACAAAUUAAAACCCAGUACUAAUCUACACACAUUCACCAUGAAAUUCUGGCGUAGUCAGAGUUCAGAUGUUCUACUCCAAGUCAUGACAUCUGAUCCAACAUUGUUACUAAUACAGCAAGACAGUUAUACAAAUUAAAACCCAGUACUAAUCUACACACAUUCACCGAUGUCACGACAUCUACUACUAUAUCACCAUAGAAUGGAAGAACACCCAGUUCUGUCCAUCUGGUACAAGGACACAGUAGAGAUCAAACAUAGCACUAACUUCUGUUGAGCCUGCACAGUUAUCAGCAUGAUGUCUCAAUAGUGAUUUGGACAUCACCUGUUACAGUAUUACAGUUUGCUGGCCUUGUACUUGUAUUUCCUAAAAUAAAGGUUAAACACGUUAAUCUAAUUUCCACAUAUUAGGGUGCUAACAAAUAGGCUAUUUGUUAGGUUCAUUAAUUGUAGCUCAGUUGUUAGUUUCCUGGAUUUCAGCUCAGCUGUUGGAUUGCUGAAGAAUAGCCUGAGAAAAAUAUUGAAACAGAAAAACUAACCUUCCUACAAUUUAGCAUAUGCUGUCAGGAAUGGAUGUCACAACAUUCAUUUUGGACGUCCAGAACAUAGACCAUAUGCUAAGUCUGUUAUUUUUCUGAAAACAGACUGUACAAAAUGAUGUACUGUAUAAGACCAACCAGUCUAUAUUUCAAUAUCAGCUUACAGUAAUAAAUGUCAAAACAUCCAGUUUGACAUUUACAGAAUGUGCCUUAUGCCAGGUCUGUUAUCCUCUUGAAGAACAGACUGAGAUACAUACUGAACUGUAGCAGAAGACCAACCUGCCUUAUUAUUCAGUAUAUGCUGACAAUGGUGAAUGUCAUAACAUCCAGUUUGACAUUCAAACAGUAUGCUAUGUACCAGGUCUGUUAUUCUCUUGAUAAACAGACUGAAAUACAUGCUGAGUUAUAACAGACAGAAUUAUAACGUGCAGAAGGAAAACAAACACAGGAAAUUGUUAACCCAGUUCGGUGCAACAUCACCUACUCUGGGGGCAUACCAAGCCAGGAAGAAGAUCCACUAUCAGUAGUAUUAAUUCAGAGUUAAACUCUCUCUGCGGUUUAACUCUUCACUUAAUCCCUACCCAAUGCAAUUUAUACCGUAGGAACUCCUAGAUAGAAACCACCAGUUUCCAUUUCUAUCACUACAAUUUCAAAGUAAUGCUAAACAAGUUGAACUUGCUUCACAACUUAGUUCAAGACCAUGACAACUCUUACCUACAGGCUUUGAGUUACAAAAUAAUCUCAGCUUUGAGCACUGAGAAACACAUGGUAAUCUUCCCACAGGUUGGGAGGUUUACCUCACACACACCCCUAAUUUUUACAUUGUUUGAGGCUCACUUCACCUAGGUUACAAUCUGCUAUUUAUAACCUAAACACCCAACUGGAUUUGGGCCUUAGAAAUCGCAACAAGCUUCUCCUUUGUUGUUACAAAGUCAGCAGAAAACUCCUGCUAUAAUCAAGGUCUUCAAUCUUUUAGUUCCUAAAAUAUCUCCAUAUAUAUCUCCAUAUUUGGAAACUGUAUAUUCUGAUUGAGUCUUUAAGAUCUCCACAAGGAAGUUAGGAUAUUCACCAAAUAUCCUCACUAAUCCCAGAAUAUAUGCCUGAAUUAACUAAUUCAGUUUUCUACACAUGUGUGAUGUCACAGUCACGAUGUCGUGACAUCGUACAUGACAUGUUGGUCCAGAUGUUGAACUUCUUCAACCCAACAUAUUAAAACAACAGAGAUGAUUACAUUAUUUGUUUUACAAAAUUAAUGUCAAUCCUAAGGUAUUAACAAUUUGUUUGAAUUUUCUAGUGUCUGGUUGGUUGAUCUGGAGGCAAUUUAGAUGGUAUCUAUAUUGUUCGGGAUGAUUAUAUCUGGCUUAAGAGACUUGAAUUUAUUCAUAAUACAACAGAAACUCUUGGAAGUGGGUGUGGCAUAUAUCUGCUCAUAAAAAGGUGAAAUUCUUCUUUUGAGCGGCUUUACAUAAAUCAUUUCCUACGAGAUCGAUGUUGUGUCAUCAUGGUAUGCUACAGGCGAAUCUCUAUUCUAUAUGCAAUCAUGACACUAAGGUGAAUCUACACUACUUGAGACUGUGAAUUCACUACUCGCUUUUGGAAAUCUAUUGGUUUCUUGGAUCCAUUAUUCUUCUAAGGGGAUAGUUUAUAUGAUUGGAUUAGACAUGGCAUUGAUGAUGACUCUAUCUUUUUGGCUGCUUGUUGAUUGUUAUGACGCACUAAAAACAAAUUGUAUCUUGCAAAUGAAGUGGCAUCUUUCUGUACUUUGAAACUCAUCACAGUUAAUUAUGCUAAUUUAUUAGCUAAAUGUUUUCUCAAGCAUAAAUGUCUCAUCCAACGAGAACAAUCAUGUGGAAUGCAUACAAAGAUAGUAAUAUGAUUUUGAAUUUUGAUGGCAAUAGCCUCAGUAAUCUCGGCGUCUCGUAUUUUGUUGGAUUGAUUUGAAAUGAUGAUGGUGCUUUGGUUCACAAUUUUGUGGGUAAUUGAUUUGAAAUGAUGAUGGUGCUUUGGUUCACAAUUUUGUGGGUAAUAUUAGUUAUUCCAACAUCCUUCAUGUUGAGUUGAUGGUGUUAUAUCAUGAUUUGUAUAGGGUCUGAGAACUUAGCAUCAAAGACAUAAUGUGUUACUCUAACUCUAACUCUGCUAUCAAACUAAUCUCAAAGACCGUUAAUAUUUGACAUCACUAUGUUGCGAAUCUUCACAACAUUAAAGAGCUCCUCUUCAGGAAAUGACACGUUCAAAUAUUACACACUCUUACGGAAGAAAAUAUUUGUGCUAACUGUCUAACAAAACAUGAGACCGAUAAUGAUGCGCCGAAUAAGUUUUUUUUUUGCAUAAUCUCCUAUUUAAAUUAUCACUCUCUUGCUAAUUGAUAUUUAGUCGAAUUUCCUAUUCUUUUUCACUUUUACCAAUAUAUAAUUUUUUUUUUAAACAAAUUUUAAAAAAUAAUAAUUUUUUUUAUUGAAAGUGUCAUUAAAUCCAAAAAAAAUCAAUAAACUUAAUUGUUAAUAAUACAUGUUUUAAAGAGCAAUUCUUAUUUGUCAAAAAAAAAAAGAGUAAUUCUUAUAAUCCUCAAUAAUAUUUAUUAUUAUUAUUAUUAUUAUCUUUUAAAUGGGUCUGUUUUUAUGUCUCCAGAAUUUUUUUUAUUUAUAUAGAUUAAUCAUUUAACUUACAAAAAUAGUCAUAAUCACAAUAAGAGUAGGAAGAGUUUGAAAUUGAGUAAUAAGCAAAUGCUAAUAAAACAAAAUAAGUCUAUAAUUAACCUCAUACACAAAGGGGGCAAAUGAUCCAAAUUGGAAAGGAUCCUGGUAAAAAUGAUCCAAAUUGGAAAUGAUCCAAAUCAUUCAUGUAGCAAUACAGCUAAACAUGAGAACUCAAGAACCAAAAGUGGUCCUUCAAAUGACUUUAACAUGCUAAAAAGAAAAGUCAUUAUUUGAUUUUCCCUUUAUCAUUCAUUAUGAAAGAGACUCACGUUUAGAUUAUUCCAUUCCAAACACAGUGUCCAAUCCUUGUCUCUUCCUACCUUUUUCACCCCACUAUCCCUACCGAGCUUCCUUAUACAAACCAUUAUCCAUCUAAUUUAUCUUUAAAGUUACCUAACCAAAUUUGUGUUUGAAAUUAAAAUCAUAAGAACGUGAUUUAUUAUUUUUCCUUAAAUUCAACCACUCUAUCAAUAAUUUGAUGUUCUAUUUAAACUUUAAUUCAGAGACUUGUUGUUACACGGCAUUGACUAUUAUGAAUAAGAGAGGUGUACAUUGGCUCACAUGGAAACCAGUUAAGACACACAUUCUAUGAAACUUCUGACUCAUGGCUACAUUUUUUAUAAACUAUAGUAUAUAAUUUAAAUGACGCAUUCAUUGCCAGCUUAUUAUUAGCAUUAACGACAGUAAUAAACAAAUAGACCUGAUGUAAUGUAACAACAACAAAAUUACAUCACUUCUUUCAGAAUAACCUGUUUAAUUAUUAAUUCAUAGAAAAAUUUAUUUAAAAAAAAAAAAAAAGCAUAAAUGAAUCAUAGAAAAAUAUUUGUUCAAACAUUAUACUAUAGAGAAAUGUGCAUGAUUUCCUUUCCUCCACCACUUGGUCAGUGGGGGCUGUUUUUUAAUUUGAAAAAGCAUAGUUGUAUAAUAAAAUUAUCUAACAGAAAUAAAGAACCAAUAAUGUGCACGUUUCAUUCAUUUAUUGACAUCAUAAUUCAAAUGUUAGAACCGACAAUGAUCAGUUGCUAAAAACAAUGCACUCAGCAAACAUUACUAGAAAAUUCAUUCAUGAAGCUACAAUACAUAUAUCAGAUACAGCAACGCAGGUUUGAAUAUGUGAGAUUUCACUUAUUUCUUUUAAAGAGUGAAAUUUCAGCUAGUAAAUUACUUGACUCCUCUAGAGACUAAAACAUUACUAAAGUUAAAGGCCGAAGAAAAAAAUAAUAAUUAUUUCGUUCAGGAGAGAUUUAAUUAAUCUGUGAAAUAAAGUUUUUCUGGUUAUUGUUUCUAACUUUUUCUCCCUCUAAAGUUUGUGAGCCUCGAAUAACCUGUAAAUGAUGCAACGUGCACUUUGAACUCAUGCAUGUGUUGACAAGAAUCACAUGUUAAUAAUCAUUAUUAUUGAGAGAAAUCACAUGGCUCAGAAAAUUAAAAAAAUUAAAGUGAAAGUGAAAGUAAUAUAGCAUAGCAGGUGAACUAAAGUGAAAACCAAUUUGUAUUCUUCUCGUAUUAGCAACUUCCCUUGGCCAUGGCCAUGGCCAUGACCAUUAUACGUAUUUAGAUGAAUUAAGGUGCAGAAGUGUGUAAUGUAUAUUUCAAAUUUCUAGGGAUACAUUUGAAAUAAAAUAAACUAUGAUUUUAGAUUAUGAUGACGAUCUAUAUCAUACCUAACGACCACGUGUACCUGUAGGAAAUUAAGGCAUAUUUGGGUUAUUCUGUAACACAAAGUGCCAAAUGCUUUGUGUUCAAAACGUACAGAAAGAAAUAAAGAAAAGUCAAAUAUCAUCUUCACCUUAUUAUUAAACAAACACAAAUGAUUUGAUCUAAAGCUUGUAAUAGCUGCCAGCCAUUAAGGACUUAAACAAAAAUAAUUAAUCUUUAAUGCAAAAUAGAGUAUUCACUUUCCCUUUAUGCUAAAACAAUUGAAAAGAAAAAAAAAACUAAAGAGAAAUAAAGCAUUUUGGAGGUACUUUUUUGUCAAGAUAGGCAACUCAGCAGAGAAUGAUAAAAGAAUAGUAAGUUAUGGUAAUUAGUUUGUGUUGGAUACUAUACUAAGAAGAAGUAGAAAUGGUGAUUAAUAUUUCAAUUAUUAGUAGUAGUAGUUGGAAUUUGAUGGUGACUGGUUCUAUUGUAUGGCCAUUUGGAGGAAAAGAAAUUGGAGAGAGAGAGAGUGUGUAAAACAGUAGUUAGAAAAGUCAUAAGGCCAGCUGGAGGGAAACUUAGUUUAAGGCAUUAAAAUCUAAAAGAAACCAAAUGAAUAUUUUGAAAUGGUCCCUUAUGACAGCUCCCCUUUAACGACUCAUUACUCUCACUAUAAGUAUAGCUAUUUUAUGUAAGCUUUCAUCAGUCAUCACUAACACAAAACCUUCCCCUCCUCUUUCUCUAUCUCUCUUUUCAGCUUUUCUAAAUAGUGGUGAGGAUACUCUCAGAAGCAUUGGCCAGCUUUUGCCUAUUGCCCAUGACUGCUAGGGGCAGUGACCCCAUAAGGGGUCGGUUUCGGCCGGAAAUGGCCAUGGCAUUGGCCAUUGUUCUGAUUUCUACUACUGUGGUUUCUGUUGCUGCUGAUGGUUACCCAUACAGUUCUCCUCCACCACCAACUUAUGAGUACAAGUCACCUCCACCAUCAACUCCUUCACCACCACCUCCUUAUGAGUACAAGUCACCCCCUCCACCACCCAUUGAACCUCCUUAUGAGUACAAGUCACCCCCUCCACCACCCAUUGAACAUAAGGCUCCACCAUAUGAGUACAAGUCACCUCCACCACCAUCUGCCUCACCCCCACCUCCUUAUGAGUACAAGUCUCCUCCACCACCUUCUUCAUCACCUCCACCUCCUUACUACUAUAAAUCUCCACCACCACCCUCUCCCUCACCUCCACCACCUUACUACUACAAAUCUCCUCCACCACCCUCUCCUUCCCCUCCUCCACCUUACUAUUACAAGUCUCCCCCACCACCAUCACCUGUUUACAAAUACAAUUCACCACCUCCACCAUCACCAACUUAUGUGUACAAAUCUCCUCCUCCUCCAACACCAGUUUAUAAAUAUAAAUCACCACCUCCACCAUCACCAACAUAUGUGUACAAGUCUCCUCCUCCUCCAACACCAGUUUACAAGUAUAAGUCACCACCUCCACCAUCACCAACAUAUGUGUACAAGUCUCCUCCUCCUCCAACACCAGUUUACAAGUAUAAGUCACCACCUCCACCAUCACCAACAUAUGUGUACAAGUCUCCUCCUCCUCCAACACCGGUAUACAAACCUCCAUACUACUACAAUUCACCUCCUCCUCCAACACCAGUUUACAAAUACAAAUCACCACCUCCUCCAUCACCAACUUACGUGUACAAGUCUCCUCCUCCACCAACACCAGUAUACAAACCCCCAUACUACUAUAACUCACCUCCUCCUCCAACACCAGUUUACAAGUAUAAUUCACCACCUCCACCAUCACCAACUUACGUGUACAAGUCUCCUCCUCCUCCCGCACCAGUUUAUAAGUACAACUCACCACCUCCUCCAACACCAGUAUACAAAUACAACUCACCACCUCCUCCAUCACCAGUUUACAAGUACAACUCACCACCUCCUCCAUCACCAGUUUACGUCUACAAGUCACCACCCCCACCAACACCUGUAUACAAACCCCCAUACUACUACAACUCACCUCCUCCUCCAACACCAGUGUACAAGUACAAUUCACCACCUCCACCGUCACCAACUUACGUGUACAAGUCACCACCCCCACCAUCACCUGUAUACAAACCCCCAUACUACUACAACUCACCUCCUCCUCCAACACCAGUGUACAAGUACAAUUCACCUCCUCCUCCAACACCGGUGUACAAAUAUAAUUCACCUCCUCCUCCAACUUACUACUACAAUUCGCCACCACCUCCGGUAAAAUCUCCUCCUCCACCAACACCUUACUACUACCAAUCUCCACCACCACCCAAGUACACUCCACCUCCAUACUACUAUAGCUCUCCUCCUCCCCCUGUUGUGUAUCCCCCACAUCCAUAUCACCACUCAUUGAUUGUGAAGGUAGUGGGUAAAGUCUACAGCUACAAGUGCUAUAACUGGGAGUAUCCUGAAAAGUCUCAUGACAAGAAACACCUCAAAGGUAUAUUACAUUCACUUCUUAAUCCUUAUAUUUUAAUCUCUCUUAUCGACAUCAAUAUUUUUUUAUAGUCAAAUUCUUGCUGGUUAGUUUUACAUUUUUAGAUGAGUUUCAUACGCUCUUUAUAUUAAGUUUAGUUAUUCAUUUUUCAAUCAACUACUACAAAGUAUUUUAUCUUCUGCAUGUACCCUUUACAAAUGAGAACUUACAUAUAUUAAUAAAAACUAACUUUUUUUCACUCAUUAAAGUAAAACAACUUAAUUCCUAAAUAACAUGCAAAUUUUGCUUAGUUCCGACUGCAAGAUGUAAUAAAGGAAAUCAAUAUGAUAGAUAAUAUGACUCGAUAUUUGGAAUUGGAUAAUGCUACAUAAUUACUAUGAUCUACAACACGGAUAGCUAAACUUUACCUUUUAGUAAAACCUUGUAAUGUUUAAUUCUGUCAUUACUUAUAUUUGACUUUACUGUGAGGCUUACGAAUUUCAACUGAUUAUGGGAUAGGUGCUGUUGUUGAGGUCAAAUGCAAAGCUGGAAGGAACAUCAUCAAGGCGUACGGUAAAACUAAGAACAAUGGAAAGUACGCCAUCACAAUUCCAAACUUUAACUAUGUGAAAUAUGGUCCCACAGUGUGCAAAGCCAAACUACAUGCUCCACCUAAAGGCUCUCCAUUCAACAUCCCAACUAAGCUCAAUGAGGGAACCGACUUGUGGGUAAAAUCUAAAGACAAGUAUGAAGUUGUGCUCAAGGCAAAGCCAUUCGCCUAUGCUUCUAAGAAGCAUUAUGAAGAAUGUGAAAAGCCUAAGCCUUCACCAACUCCUUACUACUACAAGUCACCUCCUCCUCCUACACCAACUUACAUAUACAAGUCACCACCCCCACCAUCACCAACUUAUGUGUACAAGUCACCACCUCCACCAUCACCUAUAUACAAACCCCCAUAUUACUACAACUCACCUCCUCCUCCAACACCAGUUUACAAGUACAAUUCACCACCUCCACCAUCACCAACUUACGUGUACAAGUCACCACCUCCACCAUCACCUGCAUACAAACCCCCAUACUACUAUAACUCACCUCCUCCUCCAACACCGGUUUACAAGUACAACUCACCACCUCCACCGUCACCAACAUACGUGUAUAAAUCACCACCACCACCAUCACCUAUAUACAAACCCCCGUACUACUACAAUUCACCUCCUCCUCCAACACCAGUUUACAAGUACAAUUCACCACCUCCACCAUCACCAACUUAUGUGUACAAGUCACCACCCCCACCAUCACCGGUAUACAAACCCCCGUACUACUACAACUCACCUCCUCCCCCAACACCAGUUUACAAAUACAACUCACCUCCUCCACCGUCACCAACAUACGUGUACAAGUCACCACCCCCACAUCACCGGUAUACAAACCCCCGUACUACUACAACUCACCUCCUCCCCCAACACCAGUUUACAAAUACAACUCACCUCCUCCACCGUCACCAACAUACGUGUACAAGUCACCACCCCCACCAUCACCUGUGUACAAACCCCCAUACUACUACAACUCACCUCCUCCUCCAACCCCAGUUUACAAGUACAAUUCACCACCCCCACCGUCACCAACAUAUGUCUACAAGUCUCCACCCCCGCCAUCACCUGCGUACAAACCCCCAUACUAUUACAACUCACCUCCUCCACCAACGCCUGUUUAUAAGUACAAUUCUCCACCUCCACCGUCACCAACUUAUGUGUACAAGUCACCACCCCCACCAUCACCUGUAUACAAACCCCCAUACUACUAUAACUCGCCUCCUCCUCCAACACCAGUUUACAAAUACAGUUCACCUCCUCCUCCAACACCGGUUUAUAAGUACAAUUCACCUCCUCCACCAUCACCAACUUACGUGUACAAGUCACCACCCCCACCAUCACCGGUAUACAAACCCCCAUACUACUACAAUUCACCUCCUCCACCAUCACCAACUUACAAGUACAAUUCACCACCUCCGCCAUCACCAACUUAUGUGUAUAAGUCACCACCUCCACCAUCACCAACUUAUGUGUAUAAGUCACCACCUCCACCAUCACCUGUGUACAAACCCCCGUACUACUACAACUCACCUCCUCCUCCAACACCAGUUUACAAGUACAAUUCACCUCCUCCACCAACACCAGUUUACAAGUACAAUUCACCUCCUCCACCAACACCUAUAUACAAACCUCCAUACUACUACAAUUCACCUCCUCCUCCAACCCCAGUUUACAAGUACAACUCACCUCCUCCUCCAACACCGGUUUACAAAUACAACUCCCCUCCUCCUCCAACACCGGUUUACAAGUACAACUCCCCUCCUCCUCCUCCAAAACACCGGUUUAUCAAGACAACUCACUCCUCCUCCAACACCGGUUUACAAAUACAAUCACCCCUCCUCACCAUCAUCCGUGAUUUACAAGACAACUCACCUCCUCCUCCAUCACCUGUUACAAGUACAACUCACCCCUCCUCCUACACCGGUUUACAAGACAACACCCUCCCCUCCUCCUCUCAACCACCGUUACAAAUACAAACUCCCCUCCUCCUCCAUCACCGGUUUACAAGUACAACUCCCCUCCUCCUCCAUCACCGGUUUACAAGUACAACUCCCCCCCUCCUCCAACACCGGUUUACAAGUACAACUCCCCUCCUCCUCCAACACCGGUUUACAAGUACAACUCCCCACCUCCUCCAACACCGGUUUACAAGUACAAGUCACCACCUCCACCGUCACCAACUUACGAGUACAAAUCUCCUCCUCCUCCAACACCAGUUUACAAGUACAAAUCUCCACCUCCACCAUCACCUACAUAUGUGUACAAGUCUCCUCCACCACCAACACCAGUUUACAAGUACAACUCACCACCUCCACCAUCCCCAUCACAUCCCCCUCCAUACUAUUACAAUUCUCCCCCACCGCCAUCACCAUCCCCACCUCCACCUUACUAUUACCAAUCCCCACCACCACCAUCCUCUUCUCCACCACCUCCUUAUUACUAUCAAAGUCCUCCUCCCCCGUCUCCCACUCCUCAUACUCCCUACUACUACAAAUCCCCUCCACCACCAACGUCAUCUCCUCCACCUCCUUACCACUAUGUGAGUCCUCCCCCACCAACAUCAUCUCCUCCCCCACCAUACCACUACACAUCGCCACCUCCUCCCUCCCCGUCUCCUGCUCCCACAUACAUUUACAAAUCACCUCCCCCACCAGUGAAAUCGCCUCCCCCACCAGCUUACAUUUAUGCAUCCCCACCACCACCUAUCUACAAGUAAGCUCAAAAUGCAGCAACACCGUUCCGUAUAAAUCAUGUAAGUUUAUAAUCUUACAUCCAUAAAUACACAUAUAUUACAACUGCAUGUAUAAAUCUUAGUAAUGCAAAUUAUUCUUUUCAGGUUUUAGUUUUCAUCAAGGAAUAAAUGCUACCUCCAUUUGGAACAAAGUGAAACUACCUUCCAGUCUAAGUUCUUUGAAUAAAAGUCUGAAUCUAUUAUCUCUACG
rnacentral:lncRNA from 1 species